UUUUGGCCUUCAUCAUCCCAAGCAAACACCUUCCUCUGCUUCAUUCCUCUCACCUGCAUUCCACAGCAGGUUGAGAACUUCAUUUAACUUCCUCUUUGUCUUCGAAUUUGACAUCACCAAUGGCUUGCUUAGAGGUUUGCAAAGAGACAAAGUUCAAAGAUGAUCAAGAAGAGUUCACUCUUGAUGGCAGUGUUGAUUGGCAUGGCCGCCCCGCUAUCAGAGCCAAAUCUGGAACAUGGGUUGCUGGAACCAUCAUACUAUUGAACCAAGGUCUGGCAACUCUAGCAUUCUUUGGAAUUGGGGUGAACCUAGUGCUCUUCCUGACAAGAGUGAUGGGACAAGAUAAUGCCGAUGCUGCAAACAGUGUGAGCAAAUGGACUGGCACAGUUUACAUCUUCUCUCUAGUGGGUGCUUUCCUCAGUGAUUCUUAUUGGGGAAGAUACAAAACUUGUGCCAUAUUUCAGGUCAUCUUUGUAAUAGGUCUUGUAUCUUUGUCCCUUUCGUCGUACAUCUCCUUGAUUAGACCAAAAGGUUGUGGGAAUGAAUCAAUUCAAUGCGGUAAACACUCAAGCUUGGAAAUGGGGAUGUUCUACCUCUCAAUCUAUCUCAUUGCCUUGGGGAAUGGUGGGUAUCAACCAAAUAUUGCCACAUUUGGAGCUGAUCAAUUUGAUGAGGAGCACUCAAAGGAGGGUUACUCAAAGGUGGCCUUCUUUAGCUACUUCUACCUGGCAUUGAACCUUGGUUCACUCUUCUCAAACACCAUUCUGGGCUAUUUUGAAGAUGAAGGGAUCUGGGCCCUUGGGUUCUGGGCAUCUGCAGGCUCUGCCUUUGCCGCCCUCGUCUUAUUUUUAGUUGGGACCCCCAGAUAUAGACACUUUAAACCCAGUGGCAAUCCUCUUUCAAGGUUCUGCCAAGUCCUUGUUGCUGCAUCAAGGAAAUGGACAGUUCAAAUGGCAUCAAAUGAAGAGGACUUGUAUGUCAUGGAUGAAAAUGAAUCUUCCACCAAUGGCAACAGAAGGAUUCUCCACACCGACGGGUUCAAGUUUUUGGAUAGGGCAGCAUUUAUGUCUUCCACAGAUCUAGAGGACCAUAAAGGAGGCCUUUAUAACCCCUGGCGUCUCUGCCCUAUAACUCAAGUAGAAGAAGUGAAGUGCAUAUUAAGACUUCUUCCAAUUUGGCUCUGCACUAUACUAUACUCAGUGGGUUUCACACAAAUGGCAUCUCUUUUUGUGGAGCAAGGGGCUGCCAUGAAAACUACAAUUUCCCAUUUCAGAAUACCACCGGCUAGCAUGUCUAGUUUUGACAUCCUCAGUGUAGCUAUAUUCAUUUUCUUCUACCGUCGAGUGCUUGAUCCACUUGUAGGAAAGCUUAAAAAGACAAGCUCCAGGGGACUUACUGAGCUUCAGAGAAUGGGAAUUGGGCUUGUUAUAGCUGUAAUGGCAAUGGUUUCAGCUGGAAUAGUUGAAUGCUAUAGGCUGAAGUAUGCAAAACAAGGGUGCCCCCACUGCAGUGGCUCCAGCACUCUAAGCAUCUUUUGGCAAAUUCCUCAGUACGCACUUAUAGGAGCUUCAGAGGUUUUUAUGUAUGUAGGUCAGUUAGAGUUCUUUAAUGCUCAGACACCAGAUGGCUUAAAGAGCUUUGGAAGUGCCCUUUGCAUGACAUCAAUCUCCCUUGGAAACUACGUAAGUAGCUUACUUGUUAGUAUAGUUAUGAAGAUCUCCACUGAGGAUCACAUGCCAGGGUGGAUCCCUGGAAACCUAAACAGAGGUCAUCUAGAUAGGUUUUACUUCCUCUUAGCUGCUUUGACAUCAAUAGACCUGGUGGCUUAUAUUGUAUGUGCAAAGUGGUUCAAGAGUAUACAGCUGGAAGGGAAAUAUGAAGAGAAUGAUAAGCCUGGUAGCUACAAAGUCUAAUUGCAAUGUACAACAAUCAACGGCUAUGGUUACAGCAUAUAUAAAUAAGAGAAAGAAGGGACCAACUAGUCAAAAUAACUUGAGCUAUAGCUGCUAUUGGAAGAAACAAUGGCAGAUCUUACCAACUAUGCCUUCCCUCCCAAAGCUAACACAAAUGUUCCUGUCAUUGAUGCCUGGAAGUGGAACAUGGACAAACAUUGCUAUCAUGGACAAUCCACUAAGGCACCAAGGGAUUUCUUAUACAUUCUAAUUUAGCAGAGUGACAGCAUAGGUGUGAUUGCUUACACAGAUAUUCAAUUACCAAAUAAAAUCCUAACUGGCAGUGGCAGACCUAAUGUAAAGGCUGUUGUAAUGUGGACAAAAAGAGUUCUGUUAAAAACCACUUAAAUAAAAAACAGUAUUGACCAGCAACAUAUAUUGUAGGUCAAUAUAUUUCAAGUGUCGUACAUGGAUCACCUAAAAAUAAGAUAACAUAAACCACCAACUUAGAAUUUUUAAGUUAAAAAAGCACUUAGGGUGCCAGGAUUCCUGUGUCUUUGUAAUCAAUGGCUGAAAUAGAAUUGACAUCCCGUGCCUUAUUUUCCUACCAAAGCAAAUAAUUCAUAUUUUCAUUAAGAUUAUCAGACCAAGUAGCAAAGGCGCACAUUAUGCAAUGGAGACCAUUUCCUUCUCUAUUUAGAAUCCAAAGAAGAAUUGCCCAUAUAAGAAGAUAAAUCAGAAGGAUUAACAAUCAAUAAAUAGAAGGUUUGCUUAACAAUCCAAUGAAGAAUUGCCCCAUAUAAGAAGUGACUGAUUUAUCAUUAAGAGCAAAGCAAAAUACUCUUAAGCCCAGUUUGCACGCCUCAGCAAAGACUGAUAAGUUCAUUGUGUUUAUUUUAUUAUUUGCCAUCAUUUUCUUUUAUUAGUUGAGAGUGUUCUCCAUUAAAAUUUUCCAACAAUAAGCACAUUGUCAAGCAAGUAAUAGGCAACAAAGCAAUACAAUCCUAUUGCUAUCAGAGACCAACACACAUAACUCCACGAAAACCAUUUCAGCAUGAGGAUAUCAAAAUACAGAAGGAAUCAGUCGCCGAAGUUUAAGCAAUGUUAAUGCAAAUCACGAAAUCAAUCUAAGAGUGAGGGCAGCUAAAUUGGAGGUCUCUGCUCUGCAACAAAAACAAAAGACGUGAUUUAAACUCCCCUCGAACAGAUAAAUAAUUGAAAUGUUGACGCGACGGAACGAGAUCAGAACCCACGAGUGAGGAGUAUAGGGAGGCUGAAGGAAAUUUGAGAACCAAAUUCACUGUUCAGGGAAAUAAGGGAAACAUUUUCGAAGUUCUUCCUAUUUUUUUAAAUAAUAAUUUAUUAUUUCAUAAAAUAAAUAUUAAAUAAAAAGAAUAAAUUUAUUAUCUUGCAACUAUAAAAAUAAUUUAAUAUUUUAUUUACUAAUUAAAAGUUUUU